AUUUUCCGUCUCUCGCUCUCUACCCCGACAGCUGUACGUCUUCUGUAGCACAAUCCUGAGAGAGUUCAAGAGAACCAUGAAGAGGAUUAGUGAGAGAGAGAGGUAAAAUUCAGGAAAGAUAAAGAAUUCAUCUCAGCACGACUUUAGUUGCUCUUCAUCCCGAGACUGAUCGGAGAGGCACACUGGGAAAGAAGUGGGAGAGGGAUCUGGGUUUUGACUACAGCCCCAAAUUUCUAAUCGGAGAGGCACACAGACUGAAGCGGUACUGUUUGUGCUCGAGUUUGGGAUUUGAGUGAUCGAUUCGAAAAGGUUCAAGUUUGGAUUCUGGACGGUUGAUUGAAAAAAUUACAAGACAUAAUAUGACGAAUCUCGGUGUUUGGAUUUUGAUUUGAGGAAGCUGAAAACUUAUCUGGCCAAUUCGGAUUUGAGGUUGUGAUAACUUGAUCACUUGAUCAAUAUAAGAUGUCUCCAGCCAAUUCGGAUUUGGAUUUGAGGUUGCUGAUAACUUGCUUCAUGAAGCCACUAGGAAUCUAGAAAGUUUGAUAUUUUUCUCCCAGACCCUUAGAAGCAAGAAAGAUAUUCAAGGGAGGCUUGACAAAGAACAAGCAGUUCUUUACUUUGCUCAACUCACCGGCAUUGGUUUCACAUACUACUGCUGAAAGUUAAUUUCUGUGUUGAAAGUCUGUGGUUUUAUUUGGUGUCAGUUUCAGAUUAGGUGGAAGUUUGAAGGUUCAAGACUUGAAUGCCAUAAUAGACGACUUUGGGAUGCUGAAAAGACGACAUGAACGUUCCCAGCAAAGGGUGACAAGUUGUUGGCGUCUCAAAAUGCACAGCCAUCAUAGUCUACUCUAAUCCCGCACCCCCAAGUUAAAAUCCACCUCAAAACCCAAAAAUCACUACAAAAAAGAGCAACAGAGAAAGAGAGUUGUGAGCAGCAAGAACAUUGUAGACCUCAGUCUCUUCUCCAUUACUUUUCCAUUUCCAGAAGCCUUUAUCAACAUCAGUCUCUCUCCUUCGCCGACAUCAACAGCACCCAUCAACAUCCCCAUCACUCAUAACUUGCUUCAGUUCUAUCUCAAAAACCGAAAUCAGUCGGUAACAAUAGAGAAGUGAACAAUAAUUUGGUCUUCUAUGUGUGAAAGGUUAUGUGAAAUUUGGACAUAACAGAGAAGACAAUGGAGUAGUGCAUCAUGAAUGGGCCUCCGCAGCUCAGUGAGUUCAUUAGCUUUUGAACAACCAUUCGAUUAGCUUUGGAAAAGGUUGAAGAAGGCAGAGGACCUUGGUUUACAGUUAAACAGAGCCAUAGACCUCGGUGAGAAUAACAGUCAUAUACCAUAGGAUGAGAAAGGAAGAUUUACAAGCAGCAGCAGAUGGAAGGUCAGAAAAAUUGAAGAAGAGCUGUUAGUGGUAGUAGCAAAGAUCAUAUUGUCAGUAUUGGCGGGUGGGUUUCUGCUGGUGUUCUCACAUCUCUAUGAGCAACUGAUAUUGAGGCCUAAAGGACUAAGAUCAAAGCUCCAAAAGCAAGAAAUUAGAGGGCGUCCUCCUUCAUUCCUCUUGGGGAAUAUCCUUGCAUAACGCCUUCAAAGCAAGGUCCACUCAACAGCAACAAAGACUACAGAUCCUUAAAAGCCUCAGCAUGAUGAUCGUCAUGUACCUUCUAUUUGUCACCAAUGACCUUCAAAAAUCUUCCCCCACGGAGUGAAGAAGUGAAUAUGUAUUCCAUACCAAGGAAGGACAACGAGUCAACGAUAGGUAUUGUAAAUUUGAUUGCUGGUUUAAAACUUAGAAUUCUGCCGGAGGAAUCAAAGAGGAGGGCACGAUGGCUGAAAUGCAUAUGAGUUCAGAAAAGUAUUCCAGUACUGAAGUAGAUGUUGAGACCUUUCAGCUCUUGCUCAAGCAUGAAAAAUUUUCCUGCAUCAGCCCAGAAACCUAUAAUCCGACUGCAUGAUUUUCUGAAUGGAGUUGGAGACAUUCGAGCACGGCACACAAUUCUAUUGUAGAAUCACAAUCACCCUCAGUGCCCACAACAAUGUAGCUGCUAGCAGCGGUGAAGAGUUCUUGGACCAAUUGAAGAAGUCAGAAGGGAAACUUGAUGUAUAAGCUUGAAGUGUUCUUGAACUCUUGCGUACUUCAUGGCUGGUAGGAGGCAAUUGCCACUCUACAAAGCAUGAAGGUGACGACGUUCAGGUCAAUACACAAAUGACCCUUGUGGUUUGUACGAAAUGUUAACCGAACAUGUGAAAGAUCUGUUUGAAAAUAAGAACUUCACUUAAUUGAUUACUAUUAGUUGUUAAUUCAGUUGGAAAGAAAUAACUUGAUAUUUGUUGUACAACCUAAAUGCAGUUAUUUGCCAACAACUUUCCGUUUUUAUUUAAUCA